UCGGGGGCAUCAGUAUUCCGUUGUCAGAGGUGAAAUUCUUGGAUUUACGGAAGUACUAACUACUGCGAAAGCAUUUGCCAAGGAUGUUUUCAUUAAUCAGUGAACGAAAGUUAGGGGAUCGAAGACGAUCAGAUACCGUCGUAGUCUUAACCGUAAACUAUGCCGACUAGGGAUCGGGCGAUGUUCUUUUUCUGACUCGCUCGGCACCUUACGAGAAAUCAAAGUUUUUGGGUUCUGGGGGGAUUAUGGUCGCAAGGCUGAAACUUAAAGAAAUUGACGGAAGGUCACCACCAGGCGUGGAGCCUGCGGCUUAAUUUGACUCAAC
rnacentral:rRNA from 1 species